rnacentral:tRNA from 1 species
GCCUGACUAGCUCAGUCGGUACAGCAUAUGCCUCUUGAUCCUAGGGUCAUGAGUUCAAGUCCCAUGUUGGGCA